GUGGUUGACUCGGAGGUGAACGACGGCUCUUCUGAGAAACCUUUCCUCAUGAAUGCAACAUUGAGGCACAUCCUCAAAAAGAAGAACAACGUGGGCCAGAAGCCUGGAAAAGGACACUGAAGAUCUAUAUCCAAAGUGUGGUACAUGCAAGAAUGUCAAUCUAGUUCAAGUGAACACCAAUUUAAAAUGUACGCUAUAAUAGAAACACUUUAGAUAACAACAAAGAUAAUUAGAUUAGCAAACAUCUUUAUUAUUUAAAGAUUAGAAGGUUAUUUGGAAUUUUAAAUGAAUAAGCUCUUUGUAUCAGAUGGUGUACAAAAUCACACAGCUUUAUUUUUUGAAUGUUACAGUUGUAACUGAGACAUGUUUUAACACAAUUUUACUGCCACAGUCAAACAAAACACUCAGUUCUAUUUAGAGCAAUUUCUUUCUUUCUUUCUUUAGGCUGUGGUGAAUAGGAGUUGUUUUAGUUGUAAACAUUGUAGUUGCUAGUCUUCACCACAUAGUGGUGCCAUUCAUCACAAGAUUGUUCCUGUGUCGCUUCAGUGUGAAUCAGUAUGAACUGAGUGACAUUUAUCCGUGUGUUUAUCCUUUUUUUUACACAGAUUGUCUCACAUUGAGAAACAUACUGAUGUUGCUGUCUUGUGUCCAGUGUUUUCACGUUGAACUGAAAGGACAUAUUGAUAUAAUCUGCUCUUUAAGAGCUCUUUUCUUACAAUAGCCUAGCUCAGGGAGGAGGACUUCCCUGCCAUGCAUAGUCCCGGGGAUUGUACCAUCUAG